AUUGAACGCUGGCGGCAUGCCUUACACAUGCAAGUCGAACGGUAACAGGUUAAGCUGACGAGUGGCGAACGGGUGAGUAAUGUAUCGGAACGUGCCCAGUCGUGGGGGAUAACUGCUCGAAAGAGCAGCUAAUACCGCAUACGACCUGAGGGUGAAAGCGGGGGAUCGCAAGACCUCGCGCGAUUGGAGCGGCCGAUAUCAGAUUAGGUAGUUGGUGAGGUAAAGGCUCACCAAGCCGACGAUCUGUAGCUGGUCUGAGAGGACGACCAGCCACACUGGGACUGAGACACGGCCCAGACUCCUACGGGAGGCAGCAGUGGGGAAUUUUGGACAAUGGGCGCAAGCCUGAUCCAGCCAUGCCGCGUGCGGGAAGAAGGCCUUCGGGUUGUAAACCGCUUUUGUCAGGGAAGAAAAGGUUCUGGCUAAUACCUGGGACUCAUGACGGUACCUGAAGAAUAGGCACCGGCUAACUACGUG
rnacentral:rRNA from 1 species